AACCUCCGCAAUGUGAGAAAUCGCGACGGGGGGAUCCCAAGUGCCACUCUUAACGGGAUGGCUUUUCAUUAGUGUAAAGAGCUUUUGGAAUAAGGGCUGGGCAAGACCGGUGCCAGCCGCCGCGGUAACACCGGCAGCUCUAGUGGUAGCAGUUUUUAUUGGGCCUAAAGCGUCCGUAGCCGGUUUAAUAAGUCUCUGGUGAAAUCCUGUAGCUUAACUGUGGGAAUUGCUGGAGAUACUAUUAGACUUGAGACCGGGAGAGGUUAGAGGUACUCCCAGGGUAGAGGUGAAAUUCUGUAAUCCUGGGAGGACCGCCUGUUGCGAAGGCGUCUAACUGGAACGGUUCUGACGGUGAGGGACGAAAGUUAGGGGCGCGAACCGGAUUAGAUACCCGGGUAGUCCUAACUGUAAACGAUGCGGACUUGGUGUUGGGGUGGCUUUGAGCUGCUCCAGUGCCGAAGGGAAGCUAUUAAGUCCGCCGCCUGGGAGGUACGGUCGCAAGACUGAAACUUAAAGGAAUU
rnacentral:rRNA from 1 species